UACGAAGGGAGCUAGCGUUGUUCGGAAUUACUGGGCGUAAAGCGCGCGUAGGUGGCUUUUCAAGUCAGAGGUGAAAUCCCAGAGCUUAACUCUGGAAUUGCCUUUGAAACUGUUAAGCUUGAGUACUGGAGGGGAUGGUGGAAUUUCUAAUGUAGCGGUGAAAUGCGUAGAUAUUAGAAGGAACACCGGUGGCGAAGGCGACCAUCUGGACGGUAACUGACGCUGAGACGCGAAAGCGUGGGUAGCAAACAGG
rnacentral:rRNA from 1 species